rnacentral:rRNA from 1 species
CACGUAGGUGACCAGCGUUGUCCGGAUUUACUGGGCGUAAAGAGCGCGCAGGCGGUCGUUCAAGUCGAGUGUGAAAGCCCCCGGCUCAACUGGGGAGGGUCACUCGAUACUGAUCGACUGGAAGGCAGGAGAGGGAAGCGGAAUUCCCGGUGUAGUGGUGAAAUGCGUAGAUAUCGGGAGGAACACCAGUGGCGAAGGCGGCUUCCUGGCCUGUUCUUGACGCUGAGGCGCGAAAGCUAGGGGAGCAAACGGG